rnacentral:rRNA from 1 species
CCUACGGGAGGCAGCAGUGGGGAAUAUUGCGCAAUGGGGGAAACCCUGACGCAGCGACGCCGCGUGGGUGAUGAAGGCCUUCGGGUCGUAAAGCCCUGUCGUAGGGGAAGAAAUCGUUGUCGGUUAAUACCCGGCAGCGUUGACGGUACCCUGCAAGAAAGCACCGGCUAACUCCGUGCCAGCAGCCGCGGUAAUACGGAGGGUGCGAGCGUUGUUCGGAAUCACUGGGCGUAAAGCGCGUGUAGGCGGCAGGUUAAGUCUGGUGUGAAAGCCCGGGGCUCACCCCCGGAAGUGCGCUGGAAACUGGCCAGCUAGAGUAUGGGAGAGGGAAGCGGAAUUCCUGGUGUAGCGGUGAAAUGCGUAGAUAUCAGGAGGAACACCGGCGGCGAAGGCGGCUUCCUGGACCAAUACUGACGCUGAGACGCGAAAGCGUGGGGAGCAAACAGGAUUAGAUACCCUGGUAGUCCACGCCGUAAACGAUGGGUACUAGGUGCCGGGGGUGUUGACCCCUCCGGUGCCGUAGCUAACGCAUUAAGUACCCCGCCUGGGGACUACGGUCGCAAGAUUAAAACUCAAAGGAAUUGACGG